CCAAAAAAUUUCGUGAUCUAGAUUUUAUAAAAUGAUGAUGCAGAGGAUUAUAUUGCAAAUCAUUCAAAAGGUGUAAAAAAUCACGGUUUAUAGACACAGCCAUUAAUUUAUUAGAAAAGAAGUCAACAACGUCCGAGAAUAUUAAACAGAAA